rnacentral:piRNA from 1 species
AUCAUGAUCGUGAGGAGGGCCAUCAAG